UGACCUCAAAUCAGGUAGGACUACCCGCUGAACUUAAGCAUAUCAAUAAGCGGAGGAGAAAAAACUAACAAGGAUUCCCCUAGUAACGGCGAGUGAAGCGGGAUGAG
rnacentral:rRNA from 1 species